rnacentral:tRNA from 1 species
GUGGAAUUGUAGCUGAGUGGUAGAGCACUCGCCUAGCACGUAUGAGAUGCUGGGUUCGAUCCUCAGCAUCACA